rnacentral:rRNA from 1 species
CCAAGUUUUUAAGGGCGCACGGUGGAUGCCUUGGCACCAGGAACCGAUGAAGGACGUGGGAGGCCACGAUAGUCCCCGGGGAGCCGUCAACCAGGCUUUGAUCCGGGGGUUUCCGAAUGGGGAAACCCGGCAGUCGUCAUGGGCUGUCACCCAUGCCUGAACACAUAGGGCAUGUGGAGGGAACGAGGGGAAGUGAAACAUCUCAGUACCCUCAGGAAGAGAAAACAACCGUGAUUCCGGGAGUAGUGGCGAGCGAAACCGGAUGAGGCCAAACCGUAUGCGUGUGAUACCCGGCAGGGGUUGCGCAUGCGGGGUUGUGGGAUCUCUCUUUCACAGUCUGCCGGCUGUGAGACGAGUCAGAAACCGUUGAUGUAGGCGAAGGACAUGCGAAAGGUCCGGCGUAGAGGGUAAGACCCCCGUAGCUGAAACAUUAACGGCUCGUUUGAGAGACACCCAAGUAGCACGGGGCCCGAGAAAUCCCGUGUGAAUCUGGCGGGACCACCCGCUAAGCCUAAAUAUUCCCUGGUGACCGAUAGCGGAUAGUACCGUGAGGGAAUGGUGAAAAGUACCGCGGGAGCGGAGUGAAAUAGUACCUGAAACCGUGUGCCUACAAGCCGUGGGAGCGUCGGAUACAGCUUGCUGUAUCUCGUGACUGCGUGCCUUUUGAAGAAUGAGCCUGCGAGUUUGCGGUGCGUUGCGAGGUUAACCCGUGUGGGGAAGCCGUAGCGAAAGCGAGUCCGAAUAGGGCGAUUCAGUAGCGCGCUCAAGACCCGAAGCGGAGUGAUCUAGCCAUGGGCAGGUUGAAGCGGAGGUAAGACUUCGUGGAGGACCGAACCCACCAGGGUUGAAAACCUGGGGGAUGACCUGUGGUUAGGGGUGAAAGGCCAAUCAAACUCCGUGAUAGCUGGUUCUCCCCGAAAUGCAUUUAGGUGCAGCGUCGUGUGUUUCUUGCCGGAGGUAGAGCACUGGAUAGGCGAUGGGCCCUACCGGGUUACUGACCUUAGCCAAACUCCGAAUGCCGGUAAGUGAGAGCACGGCAGUGAGACUGUGGGGGAUAAGCUCCAUGGUCGAGAGGGAAACAGCCCAGAGCAUCGACUAAGGCCCCUAAGCGUACGCUAAGUGGGAAAGGAUGUGGAGUCGCAGAGACAACCAGGAGGUUGGCUUAGAAGCAGCCACCCUUGAAAGAGUGCGUAAUAGCUCACUGGUCAAGUGAUUCCGCGCCGACAAUGUAGCGGGGCUCAAGCGUACCGCCGAAGUCGUGUCAUUGCAGCGUAUAGCCCCAACGGGUGUUGUGAUGGGUAGGGGAGCGUCGUGUGCCGGGUGAAGCAGCCGCGGAAGCGAGUUGUGGACGGUUCACGAGUGAGAAUGCAGGCAUGAGUAGCGAUACACACGUGAGAAACGUGUGCGCCGAUUGACUAAGGGUUCCUGGGUCAAGCUGAUCUGCCCAGGGUAAGUCGGGACCUAAGGCGAGGCCGACAGGCGUAGUCGAUGGACAACCGGUUGAUAUUCCGGUACCCGCUUUGAAACGCCCAUGGGGUGACGCAGGAAGGUAGUCCAGCCCGGGCGGUGGUAGUCCCGGGGUAAGGGUGUAGGGCGUUGUCCAGGUAAAUCCGGACAGCACAUAGCCUGAGACCUGAUGCCGAGCCGAUUGUGGUGAAGUGGAUGAUCCUAUGCUGUCGAGAAAAGCCUCUAGCGAGUUUCAUGGCGGCCCGUACCCUAAACCGAGCCCCCGUAACUUCGGGAGAAGGGGGGCCAUCACUGGUGAUCGGAUUUACUCCGUGAGCUGGGGGUGGCCGCAGAGACCAGCGAGAAGCGACUGUUUACUAAAAACACAGGUCCGUGCGAAGCCGUAAGGCGAUGUAUACGGACUGACGCCUGCCCGGUGCUGGAACGUUAAGGGGACCGGUUAGUCACAUUUCGGUGUGGCGAAGCUGAGAACUUAAGCGCCAGUAAACGGCGGUGGUAACUAUAACCAUCCUAAGGUAGCGAAAUUCCUUGUCGGGUAAGUUCCGACCUGCACGAAUGGCGUAACGACUUCUCGACUGUCUCAACCAUAGGCCCGGUGAAAUUGCACUACGAGUAAAGAUGCUCGUUUCGCGCAGCAGGACGGAAAGACCCCGGGACCUUUACUACAGUUUGAUAUUGGUGUUCGGUUCGGCUUGUGUAGGAUAGGUGGGAGACUUUGAAGCCGUGACGCCAGUCAUGGUGGAGUCGCCGUUGAAAUACCACUCUGGUCGUGCUGGAUGUCUAACCUCGGUCCGUGAUCCGGAUCAGGGACAGUGUCUGAUGGGUAGUUUAACUGGGGCGGUUGCCUCCCAAAGGGUAACGGAGGCGCCCAAAGGUUCCCUCAGCCUGGUUGGCAAUCAGGUGUUGAGUGUAAGUGCACAAGGGAGCUUGACUGUGAGACCGACGGGUCGAGCAGGGACGAAAGUCGGGACUAGUGAUCCGGCGGUGGCUUGUGGAAGCGCCGUCGCUCAACGGAUAAAAGGUACCCCGGGGAUAACAGGCUGAUCUUCCCCAAGAGUCCAUAUCGACGGGAUGGUUUGGCACCUCGAUGUCGGCUCGUCGCAUCCUGGGGCUGGAGUCGGUCCCAAGGGUUGGGCUGUUCGCCCAUUAAAGCGGUACGCGAGCUGGGUUUAGAACGUCGUGAGACAGUUCGGUCCCUAUCCGCUGCGCGCGUAGGAAUAUUGAGAAGGGCUGUCCCUAGUACGAGAGGACCGGGACGGACGAACCUCUGGUGUGCCAGUUGUCCUGCCAAGGGCAUGGCUGGUUGGCUACGUUCGGGAGGGAUAACCGCUGAAAGCAUCUAAGCGGGAAGCCUGCUUCGAGAUGAGUAUUCCCACCUCCUUGAGAGGGUAAGGCUCCCAGUAGACGACUGGGUUGAUAGGCCGGAUGUGGAAGCCCAGUAAUGGGUGGAGCUGACCGGUACUAAUAGGCCGAGGGCUUGUCCUC